rnacentral:sRNA from 1 species
GGGACCCCAAAAGCCAAGGGAGAUGGAAGCUCAGAAAGGAAGGAACUCCCCACAUCGCAGAAAGGUUAGUUAUGUGGGAGUGAGUGGUCUGAGAGAAUCCAACUCUCUUCUGGCUUAGGAGCUGGCAAGUUAUUUGAUGGGAAAUGGACUGGCCUCCAGGAGUCAAGGGUGGGGUCAAGGGUCCUGGCCUGUAGGGCUGUGGGAUUAGAGACCUGUUCUGGGCAUCAGAUGUAGGACAUCUCUGAUUGGAGUGGGGACUCUUGCUCAUAGGAGAUGAUGGUCCAGAUAUUGCAGAUGAAGAAUCCCGUGGCCUCGAGGGCAAAGCUGAUACACCAGGACCUGAGGAUGGGGGCGUGAAGGCAUCCCCAGUGCCCAGUGACCCUGAGAAGCCAGGCACCCCAGGUGAAGGGAUGCUUAGCUCUGACUUAGACAGGAUUUCCACAGA